GUGCGUAACGCGUAUACAAUCUGCCUUUCACUGGGGGAUAGCCCGAAGAAAUUUGGAUUAAUACCCCAUAGUAUAGUAGUGUGGCAUCACACGACUAUUAAAGCCUUGGUGGUGAAAGAUGAGUAUGCGUUCUAUUAGCUAGUUGGAGAGGUAACGGCUCCCCAAGGCGAUGAUAGAUAGGGGUUCUGAGAGGGAUGUCCCCCACACUGGUACUGAGAUACGGACCAGACUCCUACGGGAGGCAGCAGUGAGGAAUAUUGGACAAUGGUCGGAAGACUGAUCCAGCCAUGCCGCGUGCAGGAUGAAGGUCUUAUGGAUUGUAAACUGCU
rnacentral:rRNA from 1 species